UUUUUUUUUGAUUUUUUUUUUUUUUAAUUAUUGCUUAACUUUGGGUAACAGCUUAGGCAUUCUAUUGUAAAG
rnacentral:sRNA from 1 species